rnacentral:rRNA from 1 species
UGGGGAAUAUUGGACAAUGGGCGAAAGCCUGAUCCAGCCAUGCCGCGUGAGUGAAGAAGGCCUUAGGGUUGUAAAACUCUUUCGACAGGGAAGAUAAUGACGGUACCUGUAUAAGAAGCUCCGGCUAACUCCGUGCCAGCAGCCGCGGUAAUACGGAGGGGGCAAGCGUUGCUCGGAAUUACUGGGCGUAAAGCGAGCGUAGGCGGUUAAUCAAGUUGGUGGUGAAAGCCCGGAGCUCAACUCCGGAACUGCCAUCAAAACUGGUUUACUUGAGAUUGGUAGAGGAAAAUGGAAUUCCUAGUGUAGAGGUGAAAUUCGUAGAUAUUGGGAAGAACAUCUGUGGCGAAGGC